rnacentral:rRNA from 1 species
UCGAGUGGUCGGGGCAUUCGAUGGUACGCGGCCGGCGAGGGGGUGAGUAACACUUGGGUGGUCUGCCUUGUACUUCGGGAUAAGCCUGGGAAAAUGGGUCUAAUACCGGAUAUGACCUCGGAAUGCAUGUUCUGGGGUGGAAAGAUUUAUCGGUGCGAGAUGGGCCCGCGGCCUAUCAGCUUGUUGGUGAGGUAACGGCUCACCAAGGCGACGACGGGUAGCCGACCUGAGAGGGUGACCGGCCACACUGGGACUGAGACACGGCCCAGACUCCUAUGGGAGGCAGCAGUGGGGAAUAUUGCACAAUGGGCGCAAGCCUGAUGCAGCGACGCCGCGUGCGGGAUGACGGCCUUCGGGUUGUAAACCGCUUUUGACAGGGACGAAGCGCAAGUGACUGUACCUGUAGAAUAAGGACCGGCCAACUACGUGCCAGCAGCCGCGGUAAUACGUAGGGUCCGAGCGUUGUCCGGAAUUACUGGGCGUAAAGAGCUUGUAGGCGGUUCGUCGCGUCGUUUGUGAAAACUUGGGGCUCAACCUUAAGCUUGCAGGCGAUACGGGCGGACUAGAGUACUUCAGGGGAGACUGGAAUACCUGGUGUAGCGGUGAAAUGCGCAGAUAUCAGGAGGAACACCGGUGGCGAAGGCGGGUCUCUGGGAAGUAACUGACGCUGAGAAGCGAAAGCAUGGGUAGCAAACAGGAUUAGAUACCCUGGUAGUCCAUGCCGUAAACGGUGGGUACUAGGUGUGGGGCUCCUUCCACGGACUCCGUGCCGUAGCUAACGCAUUAAGUACCCCGCCUGGGGAGUACGGCCGCAAGGCUAAAACUCAAAUGAAUUGACGGGG